rnacentral:pre_miRNA from 1 species
UGAUGGAUAAGGAGCAAAUUUGAUUGAGAAAACUUUAAUUUGCAACUUUAUCCAUUUCACU